AGAGUUUGAUCCUGGCUCAGGAUGAACGCUAGCUACAGGCUUAACACAUGCAAGUCGAGGGGCAGCAUGAACUUAGCUUGCUAAGUUUGAUGGCGACCGGCGCACGGGUGAGUAACACGUAUCCAACCUGCCGAUGACUCGGGGAUAGCCUUUCGAAAGAAAGAUUAAUACCCGAUGGCAUAGUUCUUCCGCAUGGUAGAACUAUUAAAGAAUUUCGGUCAUCGAUGGGGAUGCGUUCCAUUAGGUUGUUGGCGGGGUAACGGCCCACCAAGCCUUCGAUGGAUAGGGGUUCUGAGAGGAAGGUCCCCCACAUUGGAACUGAGACACGGUCCAAACUCCUACGGGAGGCAGCAGUGAGGAAUAUUGGUCAAUGGACGAGAGUCUGAACCAGCCAAGUAGCGUGAAGGAUGACUGCCCUAUGGGUUGUAAACUUCUUUUAUAAAGGAAUAAAGUCGGGUAUGCAUACCCGUUUGCAUGUACUUUAUGAAUAAGGAUCGGCUAACUCCGUGCCAGCAGCCGCGGUAAUACGGAGGAUCCGAGCGUUAUCCGGAUUUAUUGGGUUUAAAGGGAGCGUAGAUGGAUGUUUAAGUCAGUUGUGAAAGUUUGCGGCUCAACCGUAAAAUUGCAGUUGAUACUGGAUAUCUUGAGUGCAGUUGAGGCAGGCGGAAUUCGUGGUGUAGCGGUGAAAUGCUUAGAUAUCACGAAGAACUCCGAUUGCGAAGGCAGCUUGCUGGACUGUAACUGACGCUGAUGCUCGAAAGUGUGGGUAUCAAACAGGAUUAGAUACCCUGGUAGUCCACACAGUAAACGAUGAAUACUCGCUGUUUGCGAUAUACAGUAAGCGGCCAAGCGAAAGCGUUAAGUAUUCCACCUGGGGAGUACGCCGGCAACGGUGAAACUCAAAGGAAUUGACGGGGGCCCGCACAAGCGGAGGAACAUGUGGUUUAA
rnacentral:rRNA from 1 species